rnacentral:rRNA from 1 species
CCCUUAGAGUUUGAUCCUGGCUCAGAACGAACGCUGGCGGCACGCUUCAUACAUGCAAGUCGCGCGAUUAAAGCCCGCAAGGGUAUAUAAAGCGGCGAACGGGUGAGUAACACGUGGAUAAUCUGCCUUUCGGUGGGGGAUAACGGCUGGAAACGGCCGCUAAUACCGCAUGUGGUUGCGGGGCCUUAGGACCCUGCAAAGAAAGAGGCCUUUAAAGCCUUGCCGGAAGAUGAGUCCGCGCCCCAUUAGCUAGUUGGCGGGAUAACAGCCCACCAAGGCUUCGAUGGGUAGCCGAGCUGAGAGGUUGAUCGGCCACACUGGGACUGAGACACGACCCAGACACCUACGGGUGGCAGCAGUAGGGAAUCUUGGACAAUGGGCGAAAGCCUGAUCCAGCGAUGCCGCGUGGAUGAUGAAGGCCUUCGGGUCGUAAAGUCCUUUUCUGAGGGAAGAAUUGUCUGGCGAGGAAAUGCGCCGGAUUUGACGGUACCUCAGGAAUAAGCAACGGCUAACUCCGUGCCAGCAGCCGCGGUAAUACGGA